rnacentral:rRNA from 1 species
CAGUCGCCACGGUAAAACGGAGGGUGCAAGCGUUAAUCGGAAUUACUGGGCGUAAAGCGCACGCAGGCGGUCUGACAAGUCAGAUGUGAAAUCCCCGGGCUUAACCUGGGAACUGCAUUUGAAACUGUCAGGCUGGAGUCUUGUAGAGGGGGGUAGAAUUCCAGGUGUAGCGGUGAAAUGCGUAGAGAUCUGGAGGAAUACCGGUGGCGAAGGCGGCCCCCUGGACAAAGACUGACGCUCAGGUGCGAAAGCGUGGGGAGCAAACAGGAUUAGAUACCCCAGUAGUCCCUGUCUCUUAUAC